rnacentral:lncRNA from 10 species
CGGAAAUUGAAGAGAAGCAGCCAAGGAAUGAGAAAGAGGAAAACUCUGAGAAAGCAGCCACACAGAAGCCAAGCGAAGGGAGGAUUUCCAAGGUCAGCAGAUGGAGCAAGGUGGUUGUACUACAAUCCCAGAGUCAGACCUAGAAGAAAGAUCAGUAGAACAAGACUCUACAGAACUGUUUACCAACCACAGACAUCUCACUGCAGAGACACCCAGGCCUGAAGUUUCACCCCUCCAAGGAGUCUCGGAAUAAUUCAAGUAGAGUUGUUUGGUUGAGAGGAACAUCCCCAUCUCAAGGCCGAACCUGUGUGAACCUCAUGCCAAGCACAGAUAUAGGGCUGGCGCAGGUGCUUCCUAAAGCUCACCUUCCUGGAGAUGACAUGCAUAGAAAGAGGGGUUGGGACUUUUUACUUCACUAGGAGAACUUGUAACACCAUGGGGAAGUCAGCUGAAACUUGUCUUGUUUUGCCAGGAAAGGAAGUAGUUGCCUUUGGUCAUCCAUCUGCUAAUAGUCACAGAAUACAGUGAAAUGACAUAGUUUUGGGUUAGAUUUUAUAAUGCAAAGAUUCAGAUCCAAAAUAAUUUCAUACCCCAUUUUUUCACAGAAUUCUUAUAUAGUAAAUGUAUCAAGUUUAAUAAAGCAUCUCAUUGUCAAAUAAUAUCUUGGAUUUUAUUUAUAAUUAGAGGGAUUUAUGAGUGAUUGCUCUACAUUAUUUCUUCAAAGGAAAGGAAAGGAAUUGAAGACUUUGCUACUCUCUGGUAAGACUUGAAUGUGAUUAUUUUAUAAAUAAAAGAACCACUAUGAAACUUU